ensembl:lncRNA
GUAGAAAGCUAAGUUGCUCAUGUGUUAGGCCACACCAGCCCCAGGAACUGCUUCUGAAAGGCUGGAUAUGCUGGUAUGGAGUGAUGGCCAGUCCCCCACACCAGGCCCUGAAAUCAGGGUAGCUGGGCCUGCUGCUCAAGGUCCAACACAAACCCUCAAGAAACUGGGUGCUGGUCCCAGAUCUCCUUCUCAUCAUGGUCCAGAUGUGGACAACUGUCAUCUGCCCCUUCUGAUACAAACUGAAGGGAAAAUGGCAUGGCUGGUAGUUUGGAGACAUCAGUGGAAACAGGAUCACUUGAGUUAUUGGUAGGAGAGUUUAAAGACAUGCAAGAAUGGCAAGGCGAACAAGGCAGAAAAAGAAGGUCAUUGAGGAGGCAAGAAUCAUCUAGCUCCAAUGGGACAGGCUGAUCUUGAAGGUGCUGAUAGGUUGUAAGCCACAGCCUCUGCAAGGAUGUUACAAGCCCUGCAGCAGGCGGGAAGUACAUGUGUGUUUGGAAUGCAACAAAAGGAGAAUGUUACAAAAAUGGAGAAAACACUUUCCAGGACCGGGGCACUCUGACCUGUCAUGGAAACUUUUAGCAUGAGGUGUGCCUCCUAAG